AUCUGGAGGAACUCUGGAAUUAAUUUAAGGAAAGGAGAAGGGGUGGGGGAACCUAGAAGGAAAUUAGUAGCCAAAUAAUCAGACUUCCUGACUUUAUUAUUACCUUUGUGGCCAAGAGCCAAGAAAGAACAGACAAAACAGCCACAUCUCUUUUCUUGCAUGACCGUGCGACAAAGCCUGUUUCUAAAAGCAGAGCUCCCCAUUGGAUCUCCCAUCAAGCAGGAAGCAUGUGAGAAAGCAUGUUUAUCUGCAACAAAGACAGAAAGAGACCAAGAGGCAGCAGCCCAGUUCUGAAACACCCCUCCGAGAAGCCCAGCUCGGACGUGCAAAGCAGACAGUGAUGGCUUUUCCACCCUUUUCUCUCUGGUGGUUUCUCAUCUCACAGUAGAAUUUCGUUUCCCCUAGAAACUUGGCACAGGAGGUGUCAGCCCGGGAACAUAUUUGUUUGUGUAAAUUAAAAGGAGAAUAUGUUUUGACCAUAUUUAAGUCCUAGCUGUGCUAAAGAAAUAAAUACUGAG
ensembl:lncRNA